rnacentral:rRNA from 1 species
UGAGCAAUCUGCCCUUCUCAUCGGAAUAAGCGUUGGAAACGACGUCUAAUGCCGAAUACGACCUCCUUUCGCAUGAUCGGAGGUGGAAAGCUCCGGCGGAGAAGGAUGAGCUCGCGGCCUAUCAGCUAGUUGGUGUGGGUAACGGCCCACCAAGGCGACGACGGGUAGCCGGCCUGAGAGGGUGACCGGCCACACUGGGACUGAGACACGGCCCAGACCUCCGUACGGGAGGNAGCG